CUUCAUUCCAGAUCGACAAAAGGUCAGUUUAACAGAUUUUCGUCAGAUUUUGAGAGGCUGUUCGUCAGGCUCAUCCUGCUCGUCAUUUCAGGUGAUUGGCCAUUGAGUCCGACUGCCCGC